UACGGAGGGUGCGAGCGUUGUUCGGAAUUAUUGGGCGUAAAGCGCACGUAGGCGGCUCUUUAAGUCUGACUGUGAAAGCCUGCGGCUCAACCGCAGGAGGCCAGGGGAUACUGGAGAGCUGGAGAGAGGGAGAGGCGAGCGGAAUUCCGGGUGUAGCGGUGGAAUGCGUAGAGAUCCGGAAGAACACCAGAGGCGAAGGCGGCUCGCUGGACCUUAUCUGACGCUGAGGUGCGAAAGCGUGGGGAGCGAA
rnacentral:rRNA from 1 species